rnacentral:rRNA from 1 species
GAUGAACGCUGGCGGCGUGCCUAAUACAUGCAAGUCGAGCGAACAGACGAGGAGCUUGCUCCUUUGACGUUAGCGGCGGACGGGUGAGUAACACGUAGGUAACCUACCUAUAAGACUGGGAUAACUUCGGGAAACCGGAGCUAAUACCGGAUAAUAUUUCGAACCGCAUGGUUCGAUAGUGAAAGAUGGCUUUGCUAUCACUUAUAGAUGGACCUGCGCCGUAUUAGCUAGUUGGUAAGGUAACGGCUUACCAAGGCAACGAUACGUAGCCGACCUGAGAGGGUGAUCGGCCACACUGGAACUGAGACACGGUCCAGACUCCUACGGGAGGCAGCAGUAGGGGAUCUUCCGCAAUGGGCGAAAGCCUGACGGAGCAACGCCGCGUGAGUGAUGAAGGUCUUCGGAUCGUAAAACUCUGUUAUUAGGGAAGAACAAACGUGUAAGUAACUGUGCACGUCUUGACGGUACCUAAUCAGAAAGCCACGGCUAACUACGUG